CCGGUAGGCGGCGCUUCAACUCGCCGCCGCUCCUGAAAUAGAUUGAAGUCAGGAGUCAGGACGAAGGCGAGCCAGCCACUGAUCCGAAGUGUCGCUGGAAGCCUCCACGUAAAGGACUAUUUUAAGGGAUUACAUUUUUUCACAACCAAAGAUGGUCCGACCUCAGUUUGGUCCACCACGCUUCAAGUCCAGAUCCUACGACAAUGACCCUCCUUUUGAACCCCGGGAAGACCAUUUCAGCCGGAGAGACGGUCCGGACUACACUGGAAAGGCCCCUCGCAGCUGGAGGGGAUCCAGAGGAGGCAGAGGAAGGCCCCCCUUCACCAAGCGCACCCCACUAAUGGCAGAGCGUAGGGAGCCGGCCCACGGCGGCUGGAGACCUCCGCACCAGGACUCGUUCCAAUCAUCCUACUCCCACCAAGAUGAACCCCACCACGGCCACAGGAGGCCGUCCCCGUCAAGGCCCAACCGGCCCCUCGAUGCCCAGCAUCGCCCUGCCCCCCACAGCCCCCCUCACGCCUCCCCCGGCCACAGGGGCCCCUCGUACCGUGAGGGCCACUCAGACGGAGGCCACAGGUCCCCCUCGCCCUGGCACUUCAACAAGUCCCCGGCCGACAGGAGGCCGGGGUCCUCUGGUCCGUACCGAGGCUCCUUCAGGGGCCCCAACAGGCACCCCGGGGCCCCCCACGGAGAGCAACGUAACCCAGAUCACAGGGGACAUUACAGUCCCAGGGAGAGGCCGAGCGAUCACCAAGCUCACGGCUCUAAGCGCUGGGGUGGAGACAGAGAAUUCUCCCAUCAGCACAAUGGAGAGUACGGGCCCCCUAGCCCUCAGAGGAAACCCAGGGAGUUUCAAAGGCGAAACUCCUAUCCAGAGAGGUGGUCUGGUGAGCAGGACCCCCGGAGGCCACGCGGGGAGGUGGAGAGAGAAGGGAACAGACCCCUCAUGGAUAAGCCUCAGCAAAGCCACUCCCACCCGCCCCCAUACAGAUCUCCCGCAUGGAAAGGAACGCCUCCGCCUCCGUCCGCCUCGUCCUUCCACAGCAGCCCUCGGGAGAGGCCAGGCAUGGUGCUACCUCGCAAAAGGAGGUUGCCGGAUCUUAACGAGCCCUUCGCCGGGGGGCCGCCAGAGCGCGGCCCCUUCAGGCUGGCCCAGACAGGGCGGCCCGGCCUCUUGCCCCCGCCCAUUCGUUUCAGCUGCAGCCGGAAACGCUCAUUUCCUCCCGUCCGGCCGAUGUUUAUGAACCCCCCCGCCACAGGGCCGGCGACCCCCCUCCUGCCUCCGUCUAUGAAGCCCACCAAGACCAAGGCCACGAAACCCGAGGUCAAGAGCUCCAGCUCCAUCCUCGCCAGCCGCAAGGAGCGCUUCCAGGCCGACGCGGCGCCCCUGCGGAACCUGGAGCUCAGGAGGAUCAAGCCGCCGAAGGAGUCCCCAAGCAAAGAGGAAAGCCGGGCAAGCAAGUCCCCCAAAGGGUCUGACACGGAGAGCGAACAGGUGGAGUCCCGACGAUCUGUGAGCACACGCAGCUGUUCUCCCCCGGACAAGCCUCUGCCGUCAGACCUGGUGGUGGUCUCUCUCUGGCAGGCCGGAUCCAGCGCCAAAGAUUGCUCUCCCCCUAGGGACGAAAGCCCCCAUUCCUCCCACGAUCUAACCUGUGAAACAGAGGUCCCUCCUGUCAAGCGCUUCUCCAAGUUUCACGGCUCCAGGCCUUCGCUCGUAGAGCGAACCUACGUAGACAAGAGGCCGAUUAGGCCGUUGGAUGCUGCACUGGAGAGCAAUCGAUAUGACCGGUCAUUCAAGAAACCAGGACAAGUACCAAGCCAGCAGAGGCCUUUUGCCAAUGGGCCAAGAAGGAUGGCCCCCCCUGAUCAGCCGUUCAAUGUCAGGAAGCCUCUCAUGGUAUGCAGUCAUUCUGAGAGCUUUGUGCCACAGCCGUUCCCCCAGCACAGGCCGGCCUUCAGGAAAAGUCAGAGCAUACGCUCCAAGUACCGCAACAUGCAGGUCAUGAGGCAUCGGGGGCCCAGCCAGCAGCGCUGGUGACCCCCCCCCCCCCCCCCCACGACCACCCCCACCACUGGUACAUAAACCACCUCUGAACAAAUUGUAUAUUACGAAGCCUGGUUCUGCACACAAGACGUCGACAGCUCGGCCUGUCUCACACGGCGUGACGCUGCUCUUUUUAUAUUGCACACUGCUCAUUAACCUAGCCUAGCUGUAUAUUACUGGAAAUGGGCUGCUGUUGUCGGAGAACUGCUACACUACAUUUAUGUAAUUUAAUACAUUUUUUUUUGUAUGCAGUAUUGGAGCUUUUCUUUUCUUUUUUUUGUUGAUGGAUCUUCUUGGGAUAAUGUCGAUCAUUUUGUUCAAUCGUAUUUCCCCGCAAAAGGACAAACGUUUUUGGGCUUGACUCAAAGAUUAUAUUAUUUAAUAUAAUCCAAGUCCUUGUGUCGACUUGUUUUUUUUAAACGUGAGCAUUUAUAUUUGUGAGUAGUUGUAGGUCUUCUAAGCCUAAUGCUUAUACAAUCAUAUGAAGCUUUUCAUUUGAAACAUCAAAUAAAGCAGACCGGACUUGGAUUCUCA